AGUGAACGCUGGCGGUAGGCCUAACACAUGCAAGUCGAACGGCAGCACAGUAAGAGCUUGCUCUUACGGGUGGCGAGUGGCGGACGGGUGAGGAAUACAUCGGAAUCUACUUUUUCGUGGGGGAUAACGUAGGGAAACUUACGCUAAUACCGCAUACGACCUACGGGUGAAAGCAGGGGAUCUUCGGACCUUGCGCGAUUGAAUGAGCCGAUGUCGGAUUAGCUAGUUGGCGGGGUAAAGGCCCACCAAGGCGACGAUCCGUAGCUAGUCUGAGAGGAUGAUCAGCCACACUGGAACUGAGACACGGUCCAGACUCCUACGGGAGGUAGCAGUGGGGAAUAUUGGACAAUGGGCGCAAGCCUGAUCCAGCCAUACCGCGUGGGUGAAGAAGGCCUUCGGGUUGUAAAGCCCUUUUGUUGGGAAAGAAAAGCAGCAGGUUAAUACCCCGCUGUUCUGACGGUACCCAAAGAAUAAGCACCGGCUAACUUCGUG
rnacentral:rRNA from 1 species